UCAAUAAGCGGAGGAAAAGAAACUAACAAGGAUUCCCCUAGUAACGGCGAAGUGAAGCGGGAAGAGCUCAAAUUUGUAAUCUGGCGGUCUCAGGCCGUCCGAGUUGUAGUCUGGAGAAGCGUUUUCCGUGCCGGACCGUGUACAAGUCCCUUGGAACAGGGCGUCGUAGAGGGUGAGAAUCCCGUCUCUGACACGGACCGCCGGUGCCAUGUGAUGCGCUCUCGAAGAGUCGAGUUGUUUGGGAAUGCAGCUCAAAAUGGGUGGUAAAUUCCAUCUAAAGCUAAAUAUUGGCGAAAGACCGAUAGCGAACAAGUACCGUGAGGGAAAGAUGAAAAGCACUUUGGAAAGAGAGUUAAACAGUACGUGAAAUUGUUGAAAGGGAAACGCUUGAAGUCAGUCGCGUCUUCCGAGACUCAACCGGGUGUCUUCACCCGGCGCACUUCUCGGUGUGACGGGCCAGCAUCGAUUUCGACCGUCGGAGAAAGGCUCGGGGAACGUGGCACCUCCGGGUGUGUUAUAGCCCCCUGUCGUAUGCGAGGGUCGGGAUCGAGGACCGCAGCACGCCCUUCACCGGGCCGGGGUUCGCCCACGUAACGUGCUUAGGAUGCUGGCGUAAUGGCUUUAA
rnacentral:rRNA from 1 species